rnacentral:rRNA from 1 species
GGCGAACCGUGCAAACGUUGUUCGGAAUCACUGGGCUUAAAGGGCGCGUAGGCGGGCAAGCAAGUCGAAGGUGAAAUCCCACGGCUCAACCGUGGAAGUGCCCCCGAUACUGCUUGUCUUGAGGGAGAUAGGGGCGUGCGGAACUUCCGGUGGAGCGGUGAAAUGCGUAGAUAUCGGAAGGAACACCGGUGGCGAAAGCGGCGCGCUGGAUCUCUUCUGACGCUGAGGCGCGAAAGCCAGGGGAGCAAACGGG